UACGAAGGGUGCUAGCGUUGUUCGGAAUCACUGGGCGUAAAGCGCGCGUAGGCGGCUUUUCAAGUCAGGGGUGAAAUCCUGAGGCUAACCUCAGAAUUGCCUUUGAAACUGUAAAGCUAGAGUGUCGGAGGGGAUAGCGGAAUUUCCAAUGUAGCGGUGAAAUGCGUAGAUAUUGGAAGGAACACCGGUGGCGAAGGCGGCUAUCUGGACGACAACUGACGCUGAGGCGCGAAAGCGCGGGGAUCAAACAGG
rnacentral:rRNA from 1 species